rnacentral:rRNA from 1 species
UUCUAUUAGUUAUAAUUAAUAGUAAAAUCUGCUCAAUGAAAAUUUAAAUAGCCGCAAUUCGUGCUAAGGUAGCAUAAUCAUUCGUCUUUUAAUUGAAGACUAGAACAAAAGAUUUAACAUUUUAAUUUAUUUCUUAAUCUUAACUAUUAAAAUUAUCCUAAAAGUAAAAAGACCUUUAUAAAAAAGAAAGACGAUAAGACCCUAUCGAACUUUACUUCAGUUUAACUGGGGCAGUUAAUUAAUUAACAUUUUAAUAUAAAUAAAUUUAAAAAAAUCUAGUAUAAUUAAAUCUUAAUUAAGUUACCGUAGGGAUAACAGCAUAAUAAAUAUUUACAGAUCUUAUAUAAAUAUUAGAUUAUGACCUCGAUGUUGAAUAAUAACCUAUUAUAACGCAGUAGUUUAAAAAGGAAGUCUGUUCGACUAAUAAAAAAUUACA